rnacentral:rRNA from 1 species
CAGUCGCCGCGGGAAUACGUAGGGUGCAAGCGUUAAUCGGAAUUACUGGGCGUAAAGCGUGCGCAGGCGGUUCGGAAAGAAAGAUGUGAAAUCCCAGGGCUCAACCUUGGAACUGCAUUUUUAACUACCGGACUAGAGUAUGUCAGAGGGAGGUGGAAUUCCACGUGUAGCAGUGAAAUGCGUAGAUAUGUGGAGGAACACCGAUGGCGAAGGCAGCCUCCUGGGAUAAUACUGACGCUCAUGCACGAAAGCGUGGGGAGCAAACAGGAUUAGAUACCCCUGUAGUCCCUGUCUCUUAUAC